UGGAUGGGAAGUAAGGAGAUCACCAAAGUCAUAGUGAUUCAUUGUCUUGGAACUUAAGUAACUAUCUGUAUAUAAUCUGGUGCUGAUCCAUCCAGACAGUGUUGAGAUGCAAAGGAUGUCCUGGAAAUCCACUGAGACAUAUGGAAGCCAAAAAAUGUCACCCUGUGGUGCAGCAGGAAAAGUCAAGUCCUUCUACAGUUAUAUGAAAGUACCAUGCUACUCAAGAGGAACAUGACUGCAGUUGUUUUCUACAAUGAAGGAUUUUAGGAAAAAGCAGAAGAUAUACCAGUGGGAGUAGCUGGAGUCUCGGCUGCUGCACAGCAA